GUAACGCGUGGGUAACCUGCCUUAUACAGGGGGAUAACAGUCAGAAAUGGCUGCUAAUACCGCAUAAGCGCACAGAGCUGCAUGGCUCAGUGUGAAAAACUCCGGUGGUAUAAGAUGGACCCGCGUUGGAUUAGCUAGUUGGCAGGGUAACGGCCUACCAAAGCGACGAUCCAUAGCCGGCCUGAGAGGGUGGACGGCCACAUUGGGACUGAGACACGGCCCAGACUCCUACGGGAGGCAGCAUG
rnacentral:rRNA from 1 species